rnacentral:tRNA from 1 species
GCGCUGUUGGGUUAGUGGUAUACUGUGUGCUUGCCAAGCUGUCUGCACGCGACUCGGGUUCGAUUCCCGAACAGCGCA